rnacentral:rRNA from 1 species
GAUGAACGCUAGCGGGAGGCUUAACACAUGCAAGUCGAGGGGCAGCACGGGGUAGCAAUACUCUGGUGGCGACCGGCGCACGGGUGAGUAACGCGUAUGCAACCUGCCUUGUACUGGGGGAUAGCCCGGAGAAAUUCGGAUUAAUACCCCAUAACGAUAUAGAAUGGCAUCAUUUUAUAUUUAAAGAUUCAUCGGUACAGGAUGGGCAUGCGUAACAUUAGCUAGUUGGUAGGGUAACGGCCUACCAAGGCAACGAUGUUUAGGGGUCCUGAGAGGGUGAUCCCCCACACUGGUACUGAGACACGGACCAGACUCCUACGGGAGGCAGCAGUGAGGAAUAUUGGUCAAUGGGCGCAAGCCUGAACCAGCCAUCCCGCGUGCAGGAAGACGGCGCUAUGCGUUGUAAACUGCUUUUCCAGGGGAAGAAAACUUCCGUCGUGACGGGACUUGCCGGUACCCUGGGAAUAAGCAUCGGCUAACUCCGUGCCAGCCGCCGCCGUAACAC